rnacentral:rRNA from 1 species
UACGUAGGGAGCAAGCGUUGUCCGGAAUCAUUGGGCGUAAAGCGCGCGUAGGCGGCCCUGUAAGUCCGUUGUGAAAGUCAAAGGCUCAACCUUUGAAAGCCGAUGGAUACUGCAGGGCUAGAGUCCGGAAGAGGCGAAGUGGAAUUCCUGGUGUAGCGGGUGGAAUGCGCAGAUAUCAGGAGGAACACCAAUAGCGAAGGCAGCUCGCUGGGACGGUACUGACGCUAAGGCGCGAAAGCGUGGGGAGCGAACAGG